UACGAAGGGGGCGAGCGUUGUUCGGAUUUACUGGGCGUAAAGGGCGCGCAGGCGGCUCAUUUUGUCAGGCGUGAAAGCCCCGGGCUUAACCUGGGAACUGCGUUUGAUACGGAUGGGCUAGAGUUCGGGAGAGGAGAGUGGAAUUCCCAGUGUAGAGGUGAAAUUCGUAGAUAUUGGGAAGAACACCGGUGGCGAAGGCGGCUCUCUGGGACGGUACUGACGCUGAGACGCGAAAGCGUGGGGAGCGAACAGG
rnacentral:rRNA from 1 species